rnacentral:rRNA from 1 species
CCUACGGGUGGCAGCAGUGGGGGAUAUUGCACAAUGGGGGGAACCCUGAUGCAGCGACGCCGCGUGGGUGAAGAAGCGCCUCGGCGCGUAAAGCCCUGUCAGCAGGGAAGAAAAUGACGGUACCUGAAGAAGAAGCCCCGGCUAACUACGUGCCAGCAGCCGCGGUAAUACGUAGGGGGCACGCGUUAUCCGGAUUUACUGGGUGUAAAGGGGGCGCAGACGGGGAUGCAAUCCAGGAGUGAACGCCCGGGGCCCAACCCCGGUACUGGUCUUGGGACUGCGGGGCUGGAGUGCAGGAGGGGCAGGCGGAAUUCCUGGUGUAGCGGUGAAAUGCGUAGAUAUCAGGAGGAACACCGGUGGCGAAGGCGGCCUACUGGUCUACAACUGACGUUGAGGCACGAAAGCGUGGGGAGCAAACAGUAUUAGAUACCCCUGUAGUC